AUGCAUGGCAACUUAGAGAUAAAUUAUAUAUAUAUAUAUACACACACACACACACACACACACAGACGCGUGCGCACACACACAGAUGCACACACACACAGACACACACACAGACGCACACACAGACGCGCACACACACAGACGUGCACACACACACAGACACAGACGCACACACACACAGACGCACACACACAGACGCACACACAGACUCACACACAGACACACACAGACGCACACACACACAGACACACACACACAAAGACGCACACACAGACGUGCACACACACACAGACGCGCACACACACAGACGCGCACACACACAGACGCACACACAGACUCACACACAGACACACACAGACGCACACACACACAGACACACACACACAAAGACGCACACACAGACGUGCACACACACAGAUGCACACACACAGACGUGCACACACACACAGACGCACACACAGACUCACACACAGACACACACAGACGCACACACACACAGACACACACAAAAAGACGCACACACAGACGUGCACACACGCACAGACGCACACACACACAGACGCACACACAGACUCACAGACACACACAGACGCACACACACACAAACACACACACACAAAGACGCACACACAGACGCGCACACACAUAGACGUGCACACACACAGACGCACACACACACAGACGCACACACACACAGACGCACACACAGACUCACACACAGACACACACAGAUGCACACACACACAGACGCACACACAGACUCACACACAGACACACACAGACGCACACACACACAGACACACACACACAAAGACGCACACACAGACGUGCACACACACACAGACGCACACACACACAGACGUGCACACACACAGACGCACACACACACAGACGCACACACACACAGACGCACACACAGACUCACACACAGACACACACAGACGCACACACACAGACUCACAGACACACACAGACGCACACACACACACACAAAGACGCACACACAGACACGCACACACACAGACGUGCACACACACACAGACGCACACACAGACUCACAGACACACACAGACGCACACACACAGACGCACACACGCGCGCACACACAGACGCACACACACAGAUGCACACACACAGAUGCACACACACAGACGCACACACACAGACACAGAUGCACACACAGACGCACACACAGACACAGAUGCACACACACAGACACACACACAGACACACAGAUGCACACACAGACGCACACACACAGAUGCACACACACAGACGCACACACACACAUGCUUUGUGAAUCACUCUGUUGCAGAGUUACACACACACACAAAUAGAUAA
rnacentral:lncRNA from 1 species